UACAGAGGUCCCAAGCGUUGUUCGGAUUCACUGGGCGUAAAGGGUGCGCAGGUGGGUUUGCAAGUUCGAUGUGAAAGCCCCGGGCUUAACCUGGGAAUGGCGUUUGGGACUGGAAGUCUGGAGUGCGGCAGAGGAGACUGGAAUUCCUGGUGUAGCAGUGAAAUGCGUAGAUAUCAGGAGGAACACCGAUGGCGAAGGCAGGUCUCUGGGCUGACACUGACGCUCAUGCACGAAAGCGUGGGGAGCAAACAGG
rnacentral:rRNA from 1 species